rnacentral:piRNA from 1 species
UUUUAUAAAGGAGGUUUUGGUGCUAUUGU